ensembl:lncRNA
UUUGUUUUAUGCAGUACAUAUGAGAAAUUUUGCCUAGGGCAAUGAUCCAUGGCAUAAAUACUAAGAAGCCCAGAGAUGCAAGACUGCAGACAAGGACGGUUAAUGUCUCCAGAAGGAUGAUGCCCACACAGAUCAGGUUCAAAGGCUUGCCAGGUCCACAGAGAGAUGUGAGUGGCAACCUGCAGCUUCUGGGACACUGCUCCUUGUGCAAGACCAGAGUAUCCUCAGGACAGAAGACCCGUGCAACUGGAUCUAGGUAUGCAGUGGAUUGGAUCAUGGUCACUUCCCAGAGGCAUUCUGAUUCCCAACAGGAGGUAAUGCAAAUUGUUUACAUUGAUGAUGCAUCUUCUUUGGGGCCCUGUCCCCUGGUUUCUAUUUAAAAAUGAGCUUUCAUCUUUUGGCCUUUAAGCUGCCUGAUCCAAGGUAGACAUGCACAAUGCUAAUACAUCUUUACUAGCAUCUGCAACUGAAUCAGUUAUCUCUGCCCCAGUCAGAAAAGCAGAUCCCUUUAUUAUUACUAUAUUAAUACAGUUUUGCGUGCAUGAUUCUUUACAAGGAAAAGAUGAGUCACUGCUCCAAGAGACCUCAUGUUACAAAUUAGAUGUGGCACAUGGAAUGACGACAAUGAAAUGAUUAGAGAAGAAAUACAUUUUAAUAUAUGAAUUUACUGAAUUAUUUUGUGACAAAUUCACAUUAUGUUCUUGUCUUGUUUCUCUAAGAUACACAGCUCAGACCUAAAUGCUAAAGAACUAUGUUCAGAAUGGGACCAGACUCAUUCCUGCNNNNNNNNNNNNNNNNNNNNNNNNNNNNNNNAGUGCACAUUGGUCAGCUCUUGUUCCAAAGAAGCUUCCAUAGCAUUUUGGCAAAAACUUUAUUCUUAGUCACCAAAAGAGAUAUUGAAAUGAAUGGUGACUCAUCUCAGCAGGCAUUUAACUGCAGCCUUAAUCUCAAUCCUAGUGGAAGAAAGUUAACAAUCUCAGUCCUCCAGUGUAGGAAGCAUACAUUCUUAUAAAAUUACAGAUACACACAAGAAAACAUUUCUCCUGUUUCAGUCUAUGAAAGAGCAGCCUCCCUCCUCCCUGUGCCAGGGCACACAAAUCUGACAGAAAGUGUAUUCCAGCACUGAGAAUGCUUCCUGAAUAUGCUCCUUCAGCCACCUGAGUGCCUCUGCACCAUCUAGUGGUACAAGUCCCUACCGACAGGAAUCAAGACAAGGAAAGGGUUUUUUAUUUUUAAGGCAAACAUAAUUAUUUAUGGGGAAAAAAUUGGCAGUUUUUAUUGCCCUUCCCAUACACUAUAAGCAUCUUGUAUCCCUGUAUGCAUGAACUACAGAAAGUACUUAACAUCCUAGAUGUUCCAAGGAAUUUCACUCCUAGGAAACCUUCAUAAGCUGCCUCGACAUGAGCCUAGGCACUUUGCUCUGGGUGUCCCUGUUUGAGCAGAGGUUGAACAAAUGGAUGCGGAGGUCCUUGUCAACUCAGCCAUCCAGUGAUUCUGUGAAAGUACAGAGAGAAAGGAUUUAGGAUAUAAGCAGAGGAAGAGAAGGUGGAAUUAAGGAAUCACUAGCACUCUUGGACAGUGUCUGUCAUUUUAUAACAGACAGCUACCUUUCAAAUCCUGCAAUUUGGUAUAGAUGCUUCAAGUUCCUAUCAGUGCAGACCCAGCAGGCUGUGUGGGAUACAGAAUCUCUGGAGGAGCACGUCAGAGGAGCGGCUCCCAGCACACAUCAUGAGGCUGCCUGCUCUGUUUUCUCUGGCAGACCUAGAAGAAGUGCAGCCUGGGAUGAGCACGACUGAACAGCAAAUAAGCAGAGUGUAUUUGUGUCUGUCUGGAAUGUUUUGUGUGUGAGACAGUCCCACGUGUUUUUUCAGGACCACCCUUUCUUGUUUCAAAUGGUGUUCACAGAAUCCUGAGUGUGAUGGUAGUAAAUAAAGAAAAGGCUGUGGCUGUGUUGGGGAAGCUC